AGGGGGCUUCAGCUUUGCUGUGUCAGUCGUGGUAAAUACAGGAACAUCCUUCAUGAAGAUGUGCGAGAGAAGCUUGCAAGAUCAGAAAAACUACUGAAGAUACCUCUCUUCAUUUUCAUGGAUUCUGGGAUAUUUAUCUAUUUUUUGAGCGCAGUGUCAGUGAAGAUGGUGUGGUCAGGGAUUCUGCUGUUUGUGGGAGAUCUGAAGGAACAUCUCCCAGCUUUCUACGACGAUGAGCGCUGAUGACUGAGUAUUUUUUUUCAGUGAGGAAACAGGCUUAUAGAUCAUACAGAAUGAUGUUUUCUGUGAUGGCGAGAUCAGGUACUUUUGUAAGUAUGUAAGUGAUUUUGCAUUGUUCUCCAGACGCUAAUAAGCGAGUUAAAGUGUUGUAACUGUGUAUAGUGUUGGGUUUUUCUUGUGCAUCAGCAAAAAGUGUUUUUGUGUAUUUGUUUUAGAGAUUUUGUCCAUAAAUGUAGAGGG